rnacentral:misc_RNA from 1 species
CCGAGUGCGGGCCCUCGCGGCCCAACCUCCCACCCUUGUCUAUACACCUGUUGCUUUGGCGGGCCCACCGGGGCCACCCGGUCGCCGGGGGACAUCGUCCCCGGGCCCGCGCCCGCCGAAGCGCCCUGUGAACCCUGAUGAAGAUGGGCUGUCUGAGUACAAACAAAAAUUGAAUCA